GAUGAACGCUGGCGGCGUGCCUAAUACAUGCAAGUCGAGCGAACGGACGAGAAGCUUGCUUCUCUGAUGUUAGCGGCGGACGGGUGAGUAACACGUGGAUAACCUACCUAUAAGACUGGGAUAACUUCGGGACACCGGAGCUAAUACCGGAUGAUAUUUUGAACCGCAUGGUUCAAUAGUGAAAGACGGUCUUGCUGUCACUUAUAGAUGGAUCCGCGCUGCAUUAGCUAGUUGGUAAGUUAACGGCUUACCAAGGCAACGAUGCAUAGCCGACCUGAGAGGGUGAUCGGCCACACUGGAACUGAGACACGGUCCAGACUCCUACGGGAGGCAGCAGUAGGGAAUCUUCCGCAAUGGGCGAAAGCCUGACGGAGCAACGCCGCGUGAGUGAUGAAGGUCUUCGGAUCGUAAAACUCUGUUAUUAGGGAAGAACAUAUGUGUAAGUAACUGUGCACAUCUUGACGGUACCUAAUCAGAAAGCCACGGCUAACUACGUG
rnacentral:rRNA from 1 species